rnacentral:rRNA from 1 species
AACGAACGCUGGCGGCAGGCUUAACACAUGCAAGUCGAACGAUGUAGCAAUACAUAGUGGCGCACGGGUGAGUAACGCGUGGGAAUGUACCUUAUAGUGGGGAAUAACGUUGGGAAACUAACGCUAAUACAGCAUACGCCCUUCGGGGGAAAGAUUUAUCUCUAUAAGAUCAGCCCGCGUGAGAUGAGGUAGUUGGUGGGGUAAUGGCCUACCAAGCCUACGAUCUCUAGCUGGUCUGAGAGGAUGAUCAGCCACACUGGAACUGAGACACGGUCCAGACUCCUACGGGAGGCAGCAGUGGGGAAUAUUGGGCAAUGGAGGCAACUCUGACCCAGCCAUGCCGCGUGAAUGAUGAAGGCCUUAGGGUUGUAAAGUUCUUUCGCCGAUGAAGAUAAUGACGGUAGUCGGAGAAGAAGCCCCGGCUAACUUCGUGCCAGCCGCCGCCGUAA